CGGACUACACGGGUAUCUAAUCCUGUUUGCUCCCCACGCUUUCGAGCCUCAGCGUCAGUAAAAGCCCAGCAAGCCGCCUUCGCCACUGGUGUUCCUCCUAUAUCUACGCAUUUCACCGCUACACUAGGAAUUCCGCUUGCCUCUACUUCACUCAAGAAUGUCAGUUUCAAAAGCAGGUUACGAGUUGAGCCCGUAAUUUUCACUUCUGACUUGAUAUCCCGCCUACACUCCCUUUACACCCAGUAAUUCCGGACAACGCUUGCCACCUACGUAUUACCGCGGCUGCUGGCACGUAGUUAGCCGUGGCUUUCUAAACGGAUACCAUCAUUUUUUUCUCCGUCAACAGAGGUUUACAAUCCGAAAACCUUCUUCCCUCACGCGGCGUCGCUGGAUCAGGGUU
rnacentral:misc_RNA from 1 species